rnacentral:rRNA from 1 species
CAGCGCCGCGGUAAUACGAAGGGUGCAAGCGUUAAUCGGAAUUACUGGGCGUAAAGCGUGCGUAGGCGGUUUGUUAAGUCUGUUGUGAAAUCCCCGGGCUCAACCUGGGAACUGCAUUUGUGACUGGCAAGCUAGAGUGUGCAGAGGGGGGUGGAAUUCCGCGUGUAGCAGUGAAAUGCGUAGAUAUGCGGAGGAACACCGAUGGCGAAGGCAGCCCCCUGGGCCAACACUGACGCUCAUGCACGAAAGCGUGGGGAGCAAACAGGAUUAGAUACCCCGGUAGUCCCUGUCUCUUAUACAC